UAGGGAAUCUUCCACAAUGGACGCAAGUCUGAUGGAGCAACGCCGCGUGAGUGAAGAAGGUUUUCGGAUCGUAAAGCUCUGUUGUUGGUGAAGAAGGAUAGAGGUAGUAACUGGCCUUUAUUUGACGGUAAUCAACCAGAAAGUCACGGCUAACUACGUGCCACCAGCCGCGGUAAUACGUAGGUGGCAAGCGUUGUCCGGAUUUAUUGGGCGUAAAGCGAGCGCAGGCGGAAGAAUCAGUCUGAUGUGAAAGCCCUCGGCUUAACCGAGGAACUGCAUCGGAAACUGUUUUUCUUGAGUGCAGAAGAGGAGAGUGGAAUUCCAUGUGUAGCGGUGGAAUGCGUAGAUAUAUGGAAGGACACCAGUGGCGAAGGCGAGUCUCUGGGCUGCAACUGACGCUGAGGCUCGAAAGCAUGGGUAGCGAACAGG
rnacentral:rRNA from 1 species